rnacentral:lncRNA from 1 species
AGUGAAGAGAAAAAAAAAGAAAUAUUUACCUAAACUCUGCUCAGGAGAACAUAUCGGAGCAUUGGCUAUGUCAGAACCAGGAUCAGGAUCAGAUGUAGUUUCUAUGCAGCUACGAGCAGAAAAAAAAGGGCGAUCACUACGUUUUUAAUGGCAGCAAAUUCUGGAUCACGAAUGGCCCUAUUGCAGAUGUUAUUGUUGUUUAUGCAAGAACAGAUACUAGUGCCUCUAAGAAACAACAUGGAAUAUCUGCUUUUAUUGUGGAAAAAGGUUUCAAGGGCUUCAAGACUGGUCCCAAACUGGAUAAGCUUGGAAUGAGAGGAUCUGAUACUGGGGAGUUAAUAUUUGAUAAUUGCGAGGUUCCAGCUGAAAACUUGCUUGGCCAGGAAAAAAAGGUGUCUAUGUUCUAAUGAGCGGUCUUGAUUAGAAAGGCUUGUCAUCGCAGCUGGGCCUGUUGGGUAAGAUUAAAAAAUUGUAUUAUUACCCUGAGCAUCUCUGAAAAUCCUCAGAUCCAGUUCAAUUAUCCUUCAUAACUAACCUGGCUAAUAAAACUAUUUCUGAGCCAGUCAUACAUCAUACUUAUUUUCUGCCCGAGCUGAACCUUAUCCUCCUCAAUCUUACGCUGAAAGUCAUCAGAGUUUUUGUUACUCUGAUUGUA